GUUAACAUGGCCCAGUUGGUCUAAGGCGCCAGAUUAAGGCUCUGGUUCGAAAGGGCGUGGGUUCAAUUCCCACUGUUGACA
rfam:Brassica napus, WGS project CCCW01000000 data, contig: 12498